CACUCUAAAAACGGCUGGGUUAUUUUUUAACCCAAAAUGCUGGGCUGAGUCUGUUGGGUCAUUUUGUUGGGUUAUUUUAUUUCUUAUUAAACACUUUUGGGUAGUUUCAAUUUACCAGGAGUUGGGUUAAACCUGCUGGGUUGUGUCGCUGGGUUGUUUCAGGCCAGCGCUGGGUUAUUUAAAGCCCUUGAAGAUGUUUAAAUCGCUCCCCAACUGUCAUUUUGGAAGAACAACGGGCAAAGCCACGGCUUUCAACUGUUUUAAGAAAAGCACAUGGAUACAUUUGUGAGAGAAAACUCGUCGAGUGCAGUCUUAUUGAGGCGUAUAACGGUUGGAACACACAUAGAAUUCCUUAACCGAGCAGAGUCCACAAAACCCCAUCCAGUUAUCGUGGCGAUUUAAAAAUGCCAGCAGAUCUCUCAGGCAUUGAUCAUUAUCAUUGGACAG